GCCUCUUUAGCUCAGUUGGUUACGCCGAAACGCGGAGCGUUUUGGUGGCUUGGAGAGCACGACACUCUUAAUGUUGGGGUCCAGGGUUCGAGCCCCUGAGGGGGUA
rnacentral:tRNA from 4 species